GCGCCAAUAGCUCAGUUGGUAGAGCGGCUGACUCUUAAUCAGCGGGUCGGGGGUUCGAUCCCCUCUUGGCGCACCA
rnacentral:tRNA from 1 species